rnacentral:tRNA from 1 species
GGAGGAGUGGCAGAGCGGUUGAAUGCACUGGUCUUGAAAACCGGCGUACUCGUAAGGGUACCGGGGGUUCGAAUCCCUCCUCCUCCG